GAGCCGGUAGCUCAGCUGAAUAGAGCUCCUGCCUUCUAAGCAGGUGGUCGUGGGUUUGAAUCCCGCCCGGCUCACCU
rnacentral:tRNA from 1 species